UUCACUUUUCACUGAUCCAAAGGAGGUCACGUGGGAUUGCUUGAAAAUGGCGAAACGAAACUUGUGAAUCGUGCAUUUGCUCUUCUUGGUAGCUGCCAGAAAAUCGAAUCAAGCUUAUGGGACACUGGAUUACAGGUUGCUGCCACUACUCCAUGUGCCCGCAAUUGUCUUGCGUGUAUGAUUACACUAACGGCGUCGCCCACCACGGCGGAAGUGUUUUGCGUACACGCGUUUCAGCAUGAAGCCUGCAGGUGGACGUAAAUUGUAGAAGGCAGCUAGUGGGGGAGAAGAUCAUGGUCAUAGGUCAUGUGACUCCUGGAGCUCCCAGUGGGCUCCCUUGUGGAGUACUUUUCAGAACACACACACAUACAGUUUGCUCACAGAACCAACGAGUAGGAUGUUGCUUGAAUACUGAGAGAAAAUGGCGUAACACAUACAAAUAUCGUGUGACACAUAUGACAAUAAAAACAUUUUUCACGAGGGAUGCAUGAAACACUGUCGCAAUAUUGUGUGCAUGAACCAUUGUGUGUGACACAAGCCGUGGGGGCACACCGCCUCGGACACAUUUUGGGAAGCAUAAAACACAGUAUAUACAGAGCUAGUAUGGUGGAUGCUUCUUUUUUCUUUUUGGCCGUUAUGAGACAUCUUCGGCCGUAAUGAGACUACCUUCGGCCGUAUUGAGACUUUGGCCGUAACGAGACACUUGGGGAUUAAAGGAUUUUCGGCCGUAAUGAGACU